GAGUACUUCGGGCUGUCCAAUAAUCAAACAGCCCUGUGUGUGAAGUCUCUGAUGUGGCCUUCACUAUGCCAAACAACACAAUUUCUGCAAGUGUCCCUUUCUGCAGACUUUCCCGCGGGACUUUCAACAUCGAACGUGAUCAGUAUUCAAAAAUAAAUGUAAACCAAUCAGGGAUGGACGUGAAAAAAAAAGGGAAU